CAUUGAUAAACAAGUUCAAGCUGACUUUUUGCACUUCAGUCCAUGUCUGCACCACAAAAAGCGCGACCAGGCUUAACACAUUAGUGAAAAGAGAGGGUCCAGGCUCAAGAUGGAGGCAGGGAUGGGAGGAAUAAUUCAUCGUCAAAUUAAGCAGAUAAUGACCCUAAGCACACCCCAAGGUUAUGUAGUAAGUAUUAUUUUGUGAACAAGGAAAGAAAUUGUGCUGAAACAGAUGACCAGGCCCCCCACAGUCCCACGACCGAAACCCUAUAGAGCUGGUUUGGGCUGAGCUGGAUUGAAGGCAGUCAACUUGUUACCAGACCUUGUGGAAACUCCUUCUGGACUGUAGGAUAAGGUGGCUACAUCGGGAAGCUGGUUGAAGGGAUGCCAAGAGACUGAAACGCUGUCAUCGAAGCAAAAGGGGACUAUGUUGAAGAGUCUAAAAUUUGAGAAAGUUUUAAGGUGUUGAACACUUCUCUUACUCCUUGCAAUAUUUGAUAUGUAUUACUUCAUUGCCUCAAGGCCUUUAUUAUAUGGUGAAUAGCAAAGCUGAAAUAGAGACAAAUGCAUUAAAAGUAGCUGUGUAUAGACUUUUGACUGGUACUGAAUCUUGACAGACCAAUUUGUGGCUUAAUGCCAGCCAGUACUCAGUACUUA